ensembl:rRNA 5S_rRNA 5S ribosomal RNA
GUCUGUGGCCAUACCACCCGGAACACACUCGAUCUCAUCUCAUCUCCAAAGCUAAGCAUGGUUGGCCUGGUUAGUACUUGGAUGGGAGAAAACUGUUAUCCUACCUU